CCUACGGGAGGCAGCAGUCGGGAAUAUUGCGCAAUGGAGGAAACUCUGACGCAGUGACGCCGCGUGCAGGAAGAAGGUUUUCGGAUUGUAAACUGCUUUAGACAGGGAAGAAAAAAGACAGUACCUGUAGAAUAAGCUCCGGCUAACUACGUGCCAGCAGCCGCGGUAAUACGUAGGGAGCAAGCGUUAUCCGGAUUUAUUGGGUGUAAAGGGCGUGUAGCCGGGCUGACAGGUCAGAUGUGAAAUUCCGGGGCUCAACCCCGGACCUGCAUUUGAAACUGUUGGUCUUGAGUAUCGGAGAGGCAGGCGGAAUUCCUAGUGUAGCGGUGAAAUGCGUAGAUAUUAGGAGGAACACCAGUGGCGAAGGCGGCCUGCUGGACGACAACAGACGGUGAGGCGCGAAAGCGUGGGGAGCAAACAGGAUUAGAUACCCCAGUAGUC
rnacentral:rRNA from 1 species